UACGGAGGAUCCGAGCGUUAUCCGGAUUUAUUGGGUUUAAAGGGUGCGCAGGCGGGAUGUUAAGUCGGCGGUGAAAUUUUGCAGCUCAACUGUAAAAGUGCCUUCGAUACUGGCUUUCUUGAGUGUGGAUGAAGUAGGCGGAAUUUGUGGUGUAGCGGUGAAAUGCUUAGAUAUCACGAGGAACUCCGAUUGCGCAGGCAGCUUACUAAACCACUACUGACGCUCACGCACGAAGGCGUGGGGAUCAAACAGGAUUAGAUACCCU
rnacentral:rRNA from 1 species